UUUUCAAACACCUCAAUCUCACUCUCAAACACCCUCAAUCAGCUACAAAUUCGGAGUUUUGGACAGAUUCAACACGAGUUCUUCAAACAAGCAUAACUCCUUCAUUUCUUGUCCGUUUUCAUCGAUUCUUCUUCCUACUUGCUUGGAUUGACCUAAGGAACAUUUCCACAGGUUUUCCAUGGAAGACCAAGCCCUGGAAUGUCCCCGAAAAGGCUCCAAAGUGGGCUGUUCGUUUUUGUUUUCAUCUAAACUAUGUUAAACUUAGUAAACUUGAGUUAAUCUCAUCUCAAACCUAUGUCCUAAUGCUCAUAAUCAAAUGAAUGGUUAGUUGGGCUUAAAAACAAGGUUGAGACACUUAAAAUCAGAGGAUUAAACCUCAUAAACUUUCUGUUUUAGUUAGGGCUCUACCCACAAGAAGUGUUCAAGCUUGAAGCUUGGUAAAAGUGUGAUGGUUAGACUAGCUUGGGCUAUCUUUCAUGAACAUCCACUCACUUCUUGAUGUUUUCUCAUAGAAUAGUUGUUCAUUUCAUUUCUUAUGUAAGUUCAAGACCCUCCUUGAAUGUUUUUACAUCAAGUGUAGUGGUGAACAUUGGAGGUGCCUAAAUGGGAGCUUGUUCUUCCUACCUCAUGUAUGAUUUCUAUGACACUUUGAGGUGCCUAAAUAAAGACUUUAGUCUUCUACCUCAUGCUUGACUUAUAUGAUAUACUAUGCUCUAUAUAAUACUUAUGUAAUAUUCGAACAAAUCGAACUCUUGGUGAUGAGCUAAUGGACAUUCGUCAAGCUAGUAGAUUGUAUCAUCUUAGGCCUUGACAACUUGUCACGAUUCUAAUGGAACCUUGUUCCAUGAAAACAUUUAAACUCUUUUAGAGUUUCACAGUGUCAAGAACAAGUGUCAUAUGUGUUAGAUGAUUAUUUUCAUAUGGUUAUUUUCAUGUUAUUUAAACUCCAAAUCCCUAAAACCAUAUUGAGACACCUCUUGAACUCCAAAUCGAACGCAUUCAACUUUCUAGUCUCGACAACUUCAUCACUUUUGGAUAAUCGAAAAACAUAUGCAAUUUUGUGAGUAUACUCGAUCCCUUUUUCCCUUUUACACUUUGGGAUGCAACAUGUAUUCUAUAUUCAAACACGUGACACUUGAAACUUAUUUGAAACAUGCUCUAUCCAUUUAAACAUGAAACAUGAAACUUGUGAUACUUGAGACUAUUUUGUGCUAUGUGAACGUUUAAUCCUUGUGUGUAGUUCCGCCUUAACAAUAGUAGCGCUAUAGGGGUAAUGCACCUCCCCCAUUUGUAGUCGAGGGGUAUUGUUAGGAGGAGACAUAUUAACCUCCCGUGAAACUUUGGGUUAGGUACUUUAACGCGUUGGAAACUUGGGCUAUCACUUGGACUGCGUAAACUAGCAUGGCUGAAACUAUUUUAUUAUGUUCAUGUUGGAUAUGAGUUUUUAUUCAAUUAUGCUAUGUAAACAAACUUGUAUACUCGCUCUUUGCUUUUGCAUUGAAACUCUAUUUUAAUACAUGUUGCAGGUUGAUUAUUGAAGUAUGGAUGAUUGAUGAAACAAGUUUAGGGUGGCUAGAUACACACCUAAAUUAUCUAUCUUUUGUUGUUAUGUUAUUUGUUGAAACAAUGUUGUUAUUUCCUUUUAAAUUUUUGUUAUGA
rnacentral:lncRNA from 1 species